AUGCAAGUCGAACGAUGACUUUUGUGCUUGCACAGAAUGAUUAGUGGCGAACGGGUGAGUAACACGUGAGUAACCUGCCCCUGACUCUGGGAUAAGCCUGGGAAACUGGGUCUAAUACCGGAUAUGCACCGUGGACCGCAUGGUUCUUGGUGGAAAGAUUUUUUGGUCAGGGAUGGACUCGCGGCCUAUCAGCUUGUUGGUGAGGUAAUGGCUCACCAAGGCGACGACGGGUAGCCGGCCUGAGAGGGUGACCGGCCACACUGGGACUGAGACACGGCCCAGACUCCUACGGGAGGCAGCAGUGGGGAAUAUUGCACAAUGGGCGAAAGCCUGAUGCAGCGACGCCGCGUGAGGGAUGACGGCCUUCGGGUUGUAAACCUCUUUCAGUAGGGAAGAAGCGAAAGUGACGGUACCUGCAGAAGAAGCGCCGGCUAACUACGUGCCAGCAGCCGCGGUAAUACGUAGGGCGCAAGCGUUAUCCGGAAUUAUUGGGCGUAAAGAGCUCGUAGGCGGUUUGUCGCGUCUGCCGUGAAAGUCCGAGGCUCAACCUCGGAUCUGCGGUGGGUACGGGCAGACUAGAGUGAUGUAGGGGAGACUGGAAUUCCUGGUGUAGCGGUGAAAUGCGCAGAUAUCAGGAGGAACACCGAUGGCGAAGGCAGGUCUCUGGGCAUUAACUGACGCUGAGGAGCGAAAGCAUGGGGAGCGAACAGGAUUAGAUACCCUGGUAGUCCAUGCCGUAAACGUUGGGCACUAGGUGUGGGGGACAUUCCACGUUUUCCGCGCCGUAGCUAACGCAUUAAGUGCCCCGCCUGGGGAGUACGGCCGCAAGGCUAAAACUCAAAGGAAUUGACGGGGGCCCGCACAAGCGGCGGAGCAUGCGGAUUAAUUCGAUGCAACGCGAAGAACCUUACCAAGGCUUGACAUGUGCCAGACCGCCGUGGAAACACGGUUUCCCCUUUGGGGCUGGUUCACAGGUGGUGCAUGGUUGUCGUCAGCUCGUGUCGUGAGAUGUUGGGUUAAGUCCCGCAACG
rnacentral:rRNA from 1 species